UUCACUUUCCCUUUUCUCAUUUCCCUUUCCCAUUUUCUUUCUUCUUCGAAACAGCAGCACAUUCCCCCUUUCUCUUUAUCAUUUCUAUUUCCCAAUCUUUAUCCAAUCAACACCAAAACUCUUUACUCAAACAACCCCAAAAUUCCCACCAUAUUAUGCUCCAAUUGAAGAAUAAAAGAAACUGAAUCUUUCAAGUGUGUAUGCUCUUGGUUAGUGCUUUUGGGUGCUAGGGAUUAUGCUCUAAGAGAGGGGAAGAUUACGCACCCCAUAAAGAGUAUUCACUUGAGCUCAAUGAGAUUUGCCGACCACGGACUCAUCCGGGCAUCUUGAAGUUGUUGGGAGCGCUUCUCUUGAUCCUUCAUAGUUAUUCACAGGCAGCUGAGUAGGAGUUUGUUUCAAUUGCAGCUUGUUCAAUACUUCUUUUUGGUAGGCCUCCUAUGGUUGGUGGCCAUGUUGAUAUCUUUGGAUGAUCUUUUUUGGUAUUCUGCAGCUAUAGGGAAUAUGUAAUAGUCAUAUUUUGUAAAGUGUAAAAGCUCUAUGAUGUAUUUGAUGAUGUUGCUUCUUGGAUGUUGGAUAUGUAUAUAUUUGGAUCCUUGGCUGGAUUUUAAACCUCAUCGGCAGGUCUUGUUAUUUUGGGAAAUGAAGAUAUACAAAGGAAACUCUGUCGAAUUAUCGCU